rnacentral:rRNA from 1 species
GACGAACGCUGGCGGCGUGCUUAACACAUGCAAGUCGAGCGGUAAGGCCCUCGGGUACGACGAGCGGCGAACGGGUGAGUAACACGUGGGUGACCUGCCUCUAGCUCUGGGAGUAAGCCUGGGAAACGUAGGGUCGUAAUACCGGAUAUGACUCCACGGCGCAUGUUGUGGGGUGGAAAGCCUUGUGUGGCUAGAGAUGGGCCCGCGGCCUAUCAGCUUGUU